rnacentral:lncRNA from 1 species
UUUCUGGUUUAGACGGGAUGCUUUUAAAUCUUUUUAAAGUUUUUACGGAAAAUUAAUGUAUGACAUUUUUAGGGCAGCAUGAGGAAAUGGACUGUCUGCGCUGGGUGGCCUGUUAAACAGCUCUCUCAGGUUUAUUUUGUGCCUGCCAUUUGUAUUGGGGCCUUUCCUCAGUGAUUUUCCAAAGGGACGCCUGGCCGGUGCACUCAGAUGGCCCCUUUAAGAAUCAGGGCAAGAUGGACCAGCCUCCUUUUCAUGUACUCUCAGGAGCUCUGUCACAGCUGCAGGUGUCACAACUCAGCAUUAGAAUGAGGAUGAAGAUAAUGGCGUAUAAUAAGAUGUAUAGCCCUACCACGAUUUUUAAUGAGAUGGGAACUUGGUUUCACACGUUUAUUCUUUUGCUUUAGUAUCUGGCCCAGAGCCUGCCAAAUACACUCUCCUUGCAAAGUCCUGUAUGUUAAUUAGUGACUGUAGCAGGCUGUCUUUUGCUUUACUAAAAAUCCCCAGAACUGUUUUGUUUUCUCUCUUGCCUGGGUAGUCUUAGUGAAUAUUCCUAUAUGUGCCUCUGUAUCUCAUCUGCUGUUUCUUCCUGCCCAAAUGGCCGAAGGAAGUGGGCUGAUAAUAGGCAUGUUAGGAUGAUCCAGAGGAGCUAAGCGUUGUUCCCAAGGUUCUGUAGCCACUGAAUUGUUUUUACAAGGCAUCAAGGUGGAAAGGAAAGACCUAGUUGGCCCAGUUAGCAGAUCUGAGUUGGGCCAGCUGUCCCCCUAGCUAGCUGAGCGACCCUGUGCAACUCAAAUUAAAUGUGCAGAAUAGGAGAUACAUACAAACAUAUAUACAUACAUACAUAUAUAGCAGCUCAGAAACUGUAUUUCCCUCCACAAGGGGUACAGGGAAAUUUCCAGCCACAGUGGAGGCUCACCUGCAGGAAAUCCCUACUCUUCCAACAGGAGAUACAGUCUGCACAUCUCUGUUUUCUGGUUUUCAAAUCCUAUUGAAUUUCUUCCUGUCUCAUUUUCCUGAUUUUGUUUUUAUUUUCUCACAAUACAGGUUUUUCUCACCAUAAGAGGUAUGAGAUGUAGUUAUUAAAACGGUACUUUAAAUGCUGAUAUAUUUAAUUUUUAAAGAUUUAACCCCAAGAGUUCAUAAUCACCACUAGCACUUGGAAGGAGUGAUGAAUGUAAGCCGUGUUUCGAGGUAUCCACGACAGCAGGAACGUGACGUAAAAUUAAAGUUUCUGCUGAUACCCCUGUGGCUUGUUGCCUGAAUUCAUAAUGAAAGAGAAUGAAGAUAAAGAUAGGGGGUUUGGGGUUGGUUUGUUUCUUUUCCCCUAGUUUUUUUCUUUUUUCUUUUUUUUGUUUUUGUUUCUGUUUUUGUUUUCUUUGUAGGGCCAUACCUGAGGCAUUAUGGAAGUUCCCAGGCUAGAGGUCAAAUUGGAGCUGCAGCUGCCAGCCUACACCACAGCCAUGCCAGAUCUAUCCGAGCCACAUCUGUGACUAUGCUGAAGCUUGUGGCAACGCCAGAUCCUUAACUUGCUGACAAGGCCAGGGAUUGAACCUGCAUCCUCAUGGAGAUUAAUCAGGUUUGUAACCCACUGAGCCACAACAGGAACUCCUCCCCAGCCUAGUUCAUGAGGGCCCUGAUUUUUAUAUCUUGCGCCCCUUGGGUUAAAAACCCUUGUCCCCUUAGAGCCAUGUUAGAUCAGACGUAGCUGUCUAAAUGUAUGACAGAUUUCCUCUAAUUUUCUAUCACAUCAGACAGCUUUUUGAAGGUCUGCAUUCCAGAGUGAUUCUUGCAGUUGUAAACCCCACAUCUACCUGCCAUCAGUGUGGAAAACCCACAGCUUAGUCUAAGUGACUGGACAGCAAGUCCGGGCCCCUGCCAGUCCUGAUUGCCUUUUCUAUUUUCAAAUACAAGGAGAACACCCACGGUGGAUGGGCAUGAUUUCCUCUCACACAGUGAGUGCUCCUCAGCUCAGCCCUCAGACGCCUCUGGGCUGUUUUCUCUUCACCAUCCAUCACAGUUUGCAUGUCUUUGGCCUCAGUCCUCAGCCCAGAGAGGGUUACCUGCAGGACUGCUGGCCCCAGCUCUGCUCCCCGAGGGCACUGAGCCUGCCCGUGGCUGCAGGGACAGUGCCCCAGGGCGUCUGGCCUCACCUCUACCUCCACAGUGGGAUGGGGUACAGAGUUUGGGCCAGAAAAUUUGGGUUUCAGCCUCUGUGCCCUGCUGCCUGUGUGCUUGGGGACAAAAAUCAUAGUUCUUAGAGCCUGGGCUUUGGGGGUAUAAAAUGGGGGUGAAAUAAGAACCCUUUCAGAGGGUGGAAAGACAGCAGCCUUGAAGAUAAGGCACUUUGUGAAUGGCGGCCGCUGCUCAUUGUGCAGCCGAGGCUUCUUCAGCUGGGGCUUCUUCAGCCAGGACGUCAGGGCCCAUUGACAGACCACAUGUUCACCCUGCAUGGGUCCUCAGUUUUCUGCUGGGUCCUGUCGGUCUCUUGAGCUCCUGCCCUUUGUAACCUGUGCCUGAAGGCCCAACCCAGCCUCGCUCCGUCCACCCUGCCCUACAGACCUCACUCUUCCACAGAUCCAGGCCUGAGUAGAGAACACACCGUGCCUGGGUCCCCUGCCACCUUCGCACCUCCGCUCUUCAUGCCUGGAAGCUUCUCUCAGCUCACCCCAAGGCCCCCCAUUAGCUCCUUCUUCACAGAGCCCUCCUUUCUGCAUUCCUGCAGCCUCUGGGGAUGUCUCCUGAAUGAAUGCUUUCUAUGCAUGCAGCUGCAUGUGCCCUUGUAUCCUGCAGCCAUUUGCUGGGGCUUCCAGAACAAAGGGCCACGGACUGAGCGGCUUAAACAACUAAAAUGUAUUUUCUCACCAUCCUGGAAGCUGAAAGUCCAGGGUCAGGGUAUCGUCAGGGUGGAUUUCUUCUGCAGCCCCUCUCCUUACCUUGUAGAUGGCCACCAUCUCCCUGUGGCUUCACAUGGUCACCCCUCUGUGUGUGUCUGUGCUCAAAUUCUCUUGUAAAGCCACCCAUCAUGCUUGAUUAAGGCCCACCCUACCGACCUCUUUAAGGCCCUGUCUUCACAUAAGGUCCCCUUCUGAGGUGCUGGGGGUUAGGACUUUGGCACAUGAAUUUGUGGGGCACAGCUUAGCCCCUCACUUAGCACACGGUCAUCUCCUGCCCAUGUGCUGUGUCUCCUCUUUGGGGAAGCAUUCUCUGUAUGUCCCUCUGCACCCCUGAAGUGCUUGAGUACACUGUGAGGCAGCUGCCUUGACCUAAGUCAGCAGGUCACGGUCUAGUCGGGGACACAGGGCUGUUCACCUAUAGGCAGGACAGUGAGAAACACCACCUGAGUGAAAAACAAACAAAAGACAAAGCACUGUAGGAGCUUAGAGGAUUGUAAAGCCAAAGAGUAACCCUGGAGAGGACCAGUGCAUCCCCAGGGUACCAGUUGGGAGGAUUCCAUCAGGAAUAUCGGGUCAGCAUCAUUCUUUUCUCAACCACAGUCAUGUCGCCAGCCCCACCCUGCCCAGAGCUAGCCUUCAGUAGAGGACAAACACAGACCUGGCACUUUGGCUUGAGAGGCGAAACUCUGAUGGUUUCUCAUGAAGAGCAAGGGUCAGGCCCAUGCUGGGUGGGAGGCUGGCUGUCCAGCCAGCUGGGAGCUGCAAGUUAUUCUUGGCCACCUUGAUCCCUGGAUCCCCUUGCUCUCAACCUUCCCUUGCAGCGUGCAGAAGGGCAGAGCCAUCUCUUCCCCCCUCAUGACAAAACCUGGAGGCAUGUACCCCAGGGCAGGAUUUGUGUCAUGUUUGAUGAUUCAAAUAUUUCAAGAGGUCAAGUUGUACAUUCACUUGUGCUUCAAGUAAAGCCCUCAGUUAUUUAUUUUUUUACAUUAUGUUUUUCUUCUGUCCCUUCUUUUCUCAUGGGAUAAUCUCAUUUCCACUCAGUUUCCAUACUGUAUAUCUACUGAUAACCCAAAGGCUAUUGUCUCAAGUGGAGAUAACCCCAAGGCCAUUCUCUCCAGGUGUCGAUAACCCCAGAGCCGUAUCUCCAGCCCUUACCACUGCCCCCAGUUCAGGCUGAGCUGCCUACCACCUUUGAGGCCCCUCUGGUUAGACAUCCAAAAUAAGCUACAUCCCAUUUGCUCCUCCCCUUCAUUCCUGCUUCUCUUUCACUGUCCCCCUUGCACCUUAAAGCCUUAAGAGGGCAACUCUUGCAACCCACCCCCCAUGAACACACACACAGCACCCUGCAGUCCUGGGCCCUUGGACUCUGCCUGACUGGACACAGAGUCUCAGGGUGGGGCUCUGUGCCAUUCACUAUCUACUUGGGGUGGCUCCUCAUCUCAGCUGCCCUCCACCCACACUUUCUCUGAGGCCCCCAGGAGGGUAAGGGCUCCCUGGAAACACCCAGGCCUUGGCCUACAUGCGUGUCUCUGUCCCAGGCCCUGGUGCUGAGGAAGCUCCUGGGACUGGGUGAUAGAGGCCAGGGACACCCUCACCUGGCUGAUUCCUCCUCACCCUCUCCCCUGCCUGGGCCUCAGCUGCCUUGCCUAGGCUCCGCAGAACUCUGCUUAAAUUCCUCAAGGCCAUAAUGUUUGUCCUCAAGGUCAAAGUUGUGUUUGGAAAUGUUCUCCUCACACCUUGGGACUCUUACUGCCUGCCAGGCUCUGGAGGAUGCAUGGGGUAACACCUUGGGGACAGGCCAGACUGAGGGCACAGGAACCUCGCUGCAGCCCAUUAGCAGCCCCAAGCACCACCCCCCUCCCCAGGAGGGACAGAGCGGUCAGACCUGGUUCUAAGCCUUGGCCAUUUUCCCUUGGAGGCAGGGUCUGCCUGGCUCUCACCAGCCAUUUAAACAGGGCUCUCAGCCGUGGGGCCGGAGAACAUUCCCGGGAAGUGAUCCCCAUCACCUGCAGGGGGCACUGUGCCCACCACUGCCUCUGUCCUUGCUUCCCUUUCCCCACUGAGCAUCCCCACCCUCCUCAGCUUCCAAACCUCACCUCUCACCCCUUCACAGACCUCCGAGACUGUCUGUGCUGUGACGUUUCAGGCAGGCACUUUGGUGAUGAGAGGGCGCAGGUUAAACUUAGUUCUGCUGCAGCCACUCUGUGCUUUGGCCACAUGCCUACCUGCGAUGCCCUGAGCCUGUUUUCCAUCUUGACAAUAGGUGGUUUUAUCUCAUUCAGGGGGACUGUACGUGAUCAAGCUGGUUGAGACUUGUUGGGGGGCAGUGCUGGCCGACAGUGGACUCAGGAAAGACCAUCUUGCUCUGCUCCACCUAAGGCCUUAGGGCAGAAUUGUUCUGGGUUGGCAUGGGGAGGGGAAGGUGAUAAUUUUUACAUUGUGUGUGUGUGUGUUGUUGUGUUUUACGUUAAUACAGAUUUAAAACUGUUUGCUGGUCUGUCUUCAUUGCUGUAGCAUGCAGUAGCAAGUUUUCCCUAGUUGUUUGUGAAGCUGGAGGUGACUGGGCCUUUAGGGCUGCCCCUCUCCUGCAAGUUCGGUGACCUUGGGGACAGGCUGGAUCUCAGCCUGAGUCACGGCAGCAUCACCUGGGUGCGGGUAAAGUGGCCAGCCCAAUUUCUGAUGGAAUAGUUCUGGGAUGAGGCCCAAAGAUCUGCCUUUCCAACCAGUGGCUCAGUUCCUGGGUGAAUCGUUGCUGUGGGGCCACUCUGAGCCACUGCCCUAAAGCACACAGAUAAACGUGGUAAUUUUGGUUGAGGACUGAUAACCAUCCUCCCUUUGGAGGGCCUCCUCAGGGACAUGUUACAAGGGGCUCAAUAUCCUUAGGCACAUUUUCUGAGGCUGCUGUAAGAGAUGGGCACAUUCCUGUGUCACAUCUGUCGCAGCCUGCAUCCCAGCAUGCCAGUGCCUGUAAAGUGCUCUGAUAGAAAGAGUCCUAUAGCACCACUCCCCUCUCCUUGUCUUCCUGGGACCUCAGGUUCCUGUGUGAUCCCUGCUGGAGGACAUGGGCUGGGAACCAUGCAGUCAUUGUGUAGCCUCGGGCUCCAUAUCCACGGAUCACCCACUGGUACGCACUGCACAGGACCAGGCAGGACUUUCAGGCAGCACGGCUCACUGGCUGCAACCAGGACAGCAUUUUUUAAAGUUUUUAAAAAUACUUUUUAUUUUAUGUUAUUCUGUUUUAAGUAUAGUUGAUUUACAAUGUUGUGUUUUAAAAUAUUUUUUAAAGCUCCAAGUAUUUUUAAUUGCUUCAAACAACCCAAUAGAAAAAGAAUUUUUCAUGGAGUUCCCGUUGUGGCUUUGGGAGUUAAGGAUCUGACAUCUCUGUGAGGAUAUGGGUUUGAUCCCUGGCCUUGUCCAGUGGGUUAAGGAUCUGGCGUUCCCACAAGCUGCAGUGUAGGUCACAGAUGAGGCUUGGAUCUGGUGUUGCUGUGGCUGUGGUUUAGGCCAGCAGCUGCAGAUUUGAUCCCUAGUCUGGGAACUUCCAUAUGCCACAGGUGCAGUCAUAAAGAAGAAAAAAACAAAAAAAAUCAUUUUUUCAGUCAAUCAAGAAAAUUGAACAUAUUAUUGAUUGUAUGAUUUUUAAAUUACUGUUAAUUGUGUUGGGUAUGCCAAAAAGAUAUUAUUUUCUUCUGUCAAAAGUCCUUGUCUGUUAGAGAUACCUACUCAGAUAUUUAUGAGUGGAAUGAUGUGACAUCAGAAAUUUGGUUCGUCAUGGCUCAGUGGUUAACAAACCUGACUAGCAUCCAUGAGAAUACAGGAAGAUCCCUGGCCUCCAUCAGUGGGUUAAGGAUCUGACAUUUCUGUGAGCUGUGGUGUAGGUCACAGACACAGCUCAGAUCCUGAGUUGCUGUGGCUCUGGCAUAGGCCAGUGGCUACAGCUCUGAUUCAACCCCUAGCCUGGGAGUCUCCAUAUGCUGCUGGUGUGGCCCUAAAAGACAAAAAGACAAAAAAAUAAAAAAUAAAAGCCACCAACAAAACAAGGGUGAGAGGAAGAGGUGAAAGAAGAAUGUGUGUUAGUUGUCAGAACUGGGUGCUGCCAUAUAUACUACACUUUCUACUUUAGUAUAUGUUUGCCAAUUUUAAA